CAGAAUUCACCUUUAAAUGUGCUUUGACUAAAAAAAUGCCUGGUGAGGUCAUUCGCAGAGCAAGAGUUAAUGCAUCAUGCAAACAGCUAAAUAAAGGUUACAAUCUGAGCGGAAUUAUUCGGAGCUCAGGCAGAAAUCUGGCAUUUGCAGUCUGUCACUGGCUUUAAGAAGUCUGGCUCGCUCGACUUCUGCCGCCCAGACACAUCCUGCUGGCUGUGUGGCACUGACGGAGGGGACAGCAGCGUUGGACGUCUUCCUGUAAAAACAGCACAAACAGGAGCAGGGGGUGAAUGGUACAUGGAAGUGUCACGUGUGAAGAAUGUGCAGAAUGAGGGGACAGCUGAAGAGCUGAUGUCUGGAGAGCGUAUCCCCUGGUACACCGGGGAUGCAGAGCCGAGUAGAGGGCUAUGAAGAGCCGUGUGCCUCUUGGGACCUGCCAGCUAAGUGUUGCAAUUGUUGGGCCCUAUCUGCUUUCCAAAUUCAUCUGAUGUGAAGCUGCUGGGAGCUGGGAUUCCUGGUGAACUUCAUGCCUUGGUAAAGCUGCCAAUACAAGGGACACCACCCUUUGAGUACUGCACUUGUUUGACUCACCACUGUUUCACAGAGCCUGUCUGUCACUCAGCACUUGUUCUGCUGAGGGACUCCUUUUUUUCAUUACGACUCCCAUUGCCCAUGGUGAGAGCUGGACCUACAUAUAUUUAGAGUCUGAAAUCCACAGUACUUACAGCAAAUUCAGUCAUGUAGGCUUAUCCUAACCCCAGUUUUUAUUUCUCCCCUUUCUGUGAUUGGAAUCUGGCCAGGAAGACAUCCCAGGGAUGGGAACUUCGGGUCCUUGUCAUCUGCCCUGGCUGUACGCAUGGGAGAGGACUAAUUGGUGCCCAGAGUGUUGGUAGUUUCUGAGCUAAGGUCAUUGUCCCCUGGAGUCCCCAGUCAGAGAGCUGCCAUCUCAUUCCAUUCAAGUUCCCACUGCUCAGAGAUGGCUUGGAAUCCUUCUGUGCUUCACUGAAACUUUUUACUCUGUGAAUGCUGCACUUAAUCCCAGUCCGCAGCACCAAGCACUUCCCAUAUAAUCUCCCAGAACAGCUGUGCUGUGAUUGCAUUGUGGAUUAUAAAAUGACCAUUUUCCACAAACCAGCUGCUGGCUGGAGGGAUAGCAUUUAAUAAUCAUGGGGAGGGAGUGGGCAAGGGAAGAGAGGAGGAGACGAAGGAGAAAGGAGGGUUGAAGCAGUUUGGUUUCUUGGGAAAUUUAGAGACAAGUAAAACCGAAGACAAAUUGUGAGUUCUAUUUCUGUAUUACUCCUCCAAAUUAACAGGACUUCACGGACUUGCUAGUAAGGUCCCCUACAGCCUUGGUUGGCAUUGCUGGUUGAGUUCCUGCUUCUGAAUCAUUUCAUUUCUCUCUUUUUUUUUUUUUUCCCUUGUCACUGGUUCUGAGAUAGUAUGGCCUUUGACCAACCGUAACAAAUCAACUGCAGAGAGUAUUUUUCCCACUGCUGAAGAUUUAAGUUAGAAAAAAAAAAAAGUUUAGGUGUUUUGUUGUUUUGUUUUGGGUCAAUAUUGUGAGUGGAAAGAUUAUUUUCAAUGAAAGCGUGAACAGCCUGAAACCUGGUGAAAGAAAAUAUAACCAAGGAAGGGUGAACAACCGACAAACCGCUCUGAAGGUUGGUGGUAUCCAAUAUGCCUCCAGAUCAUGGAACUCUUUAGUUACCGUAUCACUAAGAUGGUGCCAGCUCUGAGGUGCAGCAUCUCAAUUGCUGAAAUAAGUGCUCUGAGGGAAGCAAAAGAAGCCAGAACAUAAGACGCUACAGGAAUUUCUCAUGAACUGGGUAUUUUCUUGCCUCUGAUGAAGAUGUUCUGUAUGAGGCGCUGUUUUUUAAGUGAUGAGAUGCUAAUCAAAUCUUGCCUUCCAAGCAGCGUUUCAGCAGCAUCUCUGUUGGCCACAUUUCUGAGCUUGCUGGUUCGCAGAAAAAAAGUGCUUCUAACUAACUGCAUUGCUUCCAUCUGUAUUCCUGUAAGACUGCCACAACGUGAUUGUUUAUUUCUAAUUCUUCAUAGUACUGUCCACAGUAUGCUGGGCCUUUC
rnacentral:lncRNA from 1 species